GACAGAGGGUGCUAGCGUUGUUCGGAAUUACUGGGCGUAAAGGGCGCGUAGGCGGUUAUGUAAGUCAGGCGUAAAAUCCCUCAGCUUAACUGAGGACCUGCGUUUGAUACUGCAUAGCUAGAGAAUGGUAGAGGAGAGUGGAAUUCCUAGUGUAGAGGUGAAAUUCGUAGAUAUUAGGAAGAACACCAGUGGCGAAGGCGGCUCUCUGGACCAUUACUGACGCUAAGGCGCGAAAGCGUGGGGAGCAAACAGG
rnacentral:rRNA from 1 species